AACGAACGCUGGCGGCAGGCCUAACACAUGCAAGUCGAACGCCCGUAGCAAUACGGGAGUGGCAGACGGGUGAGUAACGCGUGGGAACGUGCCCUUCGGUUCGGAAUAACUCAGGGAAACUUGAGCUAAUACCGGAUACGUCCGUAAGGAGAAAGAUUUAUCGCCGAAGGAUCGGCCCGCGUCGGAUUAGCUAGUUGGUGAGGUAACGGCCCACCAAGGCGACGAUCCGUAGCUGGUCUGAGAGGAUGAUCAGCCACACUGGACUGAGACACGGCCCAGACUCCUACGGGAGGCAGCAGUGGGGAAUAUUGGACAAUGGGCGAAAGCCUGAUCCGGCCAUGCCGCGUGAGUGAAGAAGGCCUUAGGGUUGUAAAGCUCUUUCAGCGGGAAGAUAAUGACGGUACCCGCAGAAGAAGCCCCGGCUAACUUCGUGCCAGCAGCCGCGGUAAG
rnacentral:rRNA from 1 species